GGAUGUGAGGGCGAUCUGGCUGCGACAUCUUUCACCCCAUUGAUGGCCAGGGUUGAUUCGGCUGAUCUGGCUGGCUAGGCGGGUGUCCCCUUCCUCCCUCACCGCUCCAUGUGCGUCCCUCCCGAAGCUGUGCGCUCGGUCGAAGAGGGCGACCAUCCCCGAUAGAGGAGGACCGGUCUUCGGUCAAGGGUAUACGAGUAGUUGCGCUCCCCUGCUAGAACCUCCAAACAAGCUCUCAAGGAUCUGACACAUUUUGCUCAUGGCCAGCCUCAGACAAGAUCCUCUUACCUCCAUCUCCUAAGUAGCCAUAAUUACAGGU
rnacentral:snRNA from 1 species